CUCAACAUUCAAACUCUGUGUCUUAAAGCAUGUUCCUCACUUGCGUAUUUAUGUAUAAUGCCAUACGAAGAUCUGUAGGCAGAGGAGUGGGAGUGACGAUAAGAAAAGGGGAAAGAAGGACCUAAAAAUUGUUACCCCUAUUGAUCAAGAUGACACAGAUCUUUGUGGCAUUCUGUCCUCUGAAGUUUUUCUUCAAGGGAUUAAAAAAAAACCCCAGAAUCUUUUCAUUCAUUAUAAGACAUUUACAUAUGUCAAGAAAUGCUGAUCAUCUUCCUGAAUUGAGACUGAAGAAUCCAUCACCCUGCAGCCAACCUCGUGAUGAGUCUCUCUGAAUUUAUCCAGAUUGGUCCUUGGACAAAAAAACAUAUAAUUCACCAUCAGCCUGGCACAGAAAGUCUCUCCAGCUUGGUAGGACCUGCCAAAACUUUUGCACCUUUGGUAUUAUCUUCAAGAAUCCAGAAUCAUUUGUACACCAUAGUCUGGCAUCUGAUUAGGACUGUAAGAGAGGCAAGCCAAAACGGUACAAGGAAAUAAAGAGUG